GGGUCUAGCAGUUUCUGAAAUAACCAAAAGUCCUUGAAAUCGCUUGUAUUUUUUAUUUAUUUAGGUAAGGGCAACAUCUAAGCUUGACAUGCUUGAACGCCAAGCGCGCACCACGAUUUUAAUUUUUGCGACACGAUUUUAGAAUCGCGCUGUAAUAUAUCGCAGAAAAUUCACUGCGCGCACUGCGAUGAAA